UAUUUAUUGGGCCAAAAUGUUCAUUUAGUUUCAUCACUGUGGUGAGGUCACAGUUUAAUGAAUCUUUUUGACACAACUCUUUUUUUAGGUCCAGACCCCAGCGAGCUGGUGCUGUUCUCCUUGUGUCCAGCUAUUGCUGUUGUAUCCUCUCUCUUCUCCUCUCUCCUAUCUUCUCUUCUAGUUUAUCAUCUCUGUCAGAAAAAAGCUCCACAACCUGAUCAGCAAACACCUCAAAGAAGACAGCAUGGGGAUGAAGAUGUGUGCUAUGCUGCACUGGAAAUCCAACAGACAUCACACAGACCACAGAAGAAGAAGAUCCAGAGUUCUGACUUCAGCACCUAUUCUGCCAUCAAUACUUCGAGGAUGUAGAGUCUGAAAAAGGGAAAUAACAACCACAACUAUUCAACAUCUACCAAUUUGAUCAUUUGGAGUCAAUUAGACCAUAGAAGGUAGUUUGCUUUAGGGCGGGGCUUACUGUGAUUGACGGACUGCAAAUCAAUUUCCAAGUGAUUUAACUUUACCUCUUCCCCAACUUCAGUACCUGCUCUGGAGAACUCUGUACUCAUCACAUCCCUCAUUUUUUCAUCCAGUCUGGGAGUUGUUCCACCUUCAACUCUUUCCCAGUGUGUUUUCAGCCCAUCGCAAAAAAUAAACAAGAUUGAGACAGAAAAAACAUACAAGUUGAUUUUUCACAGCGACAGUCUGCAAACAAAUGGGUGAAUUCACAGGGGGAAGCAUCCGCUUCUUUUAUCACAAUUAAUAUAUUGCAUUGAGUAAUGAUGAGUAAUGAUGAAUCUUAUCAUGUCUUUUAAGGCAAAUAGAGCAUUCUGUCACUUGAUCUUUAUUGAUGGCUUCUAGAUGUUAUGC